rnacentral:lncRNA from 1 species
UAAUACUAUUUUAAAAUGGGGAAAGCUUCUACAAGCACCUUGGUCAGUUCCAGGUGUAGAAGUUACAUAGUAGAUCAGAACCACAACUUUUAACUUCAACAAGUAGUACCAAAACAAGCAUCUACAUUGUAUAAAAUAACAACACAACACUAGCAUACUUGAAAGGUGUUUAUACCACACUACUAACAAAUCACAACACAGACUUACUUGCAGCACUGAGGAAUAACUUCUUCUCAGUAAAGUCACAACUUGAAGCAGUUUUUCUUAUGAAAAACAAAACAAAACAAAAAACACAGAAGUUUUCUUCAACAAAACACCACUAGCAUUCUGUUAUCUCAAUACCAGUGAGGCACAGCAGGAGAUACUUAGGCCAUAUGUUGUACGGCUGCUCUGUGUUAUUAUCUGCCUCACCUGGUAAGGGUGAGGUAAAACUAUUUCCCUCCUUUUCCACUGUUCAAAAGAGCUUAACAAAGUCUGAGGAAAAUGCCUUGACUCUCCUUAUCCUGUAAUGGGGGAUGCACCCUGCCAUCAUGUUAUCUCACUGUGCUCUGCAGUGGAAGUUUCCAGAAAGCACUGAGCAGGGCAGGGCUGUGCUGCUAGGCCUAGGUGAAAUGGCGGCGUUUCCACAACCUGCACAGGCUGUGAGGAGCACUUCAGUCUGUGACACCACAGGAAAGCUCACUGUGAAGGAGAAUACCACCUUGCUUUGCUGCUUUGUCGCUGCUAAUGAUUGCAGUGAAGUGUGUUUGGCACUUGUACGAACAUGGAAGAAAAGUAUUUUGGCUGGAAAAAAAAAAAAGACUAGCUAG